UCUCAGUUUGCACUGGCAGUCUCGUUAGAGUUCCCGACUUCACUCGCUGGCAACUAACGACAGGGGUUGCGCUCGUUAUAGGACUUAACCUGACACCUCACGGCACGAGCUGACGACAACCAUGCAGCACCUUGUAAGUUGUCUUGCGAAAGUUCUGUUUCCAAAACGGUCAACCUACAUUUAAGCCUUGGUAAGGUUCCUCGCGUAUCAUCGAAUUAAACCACAUGCUCCACCGCUUGUGCGGGCCCCCGUCAAUUCCUUUGAGUUUCAAACUUGCGUUCGUACUCCCCAGGUGGGAUACUUAUCACUUUCGCUUAGCCACUCAGGUUGCCCCGAACAGCAAGUAUCCAUCGUUUACGGCGUGGACUAC
rnacentral:misc_RNA from 1 species